rnacentral:rRNA from 1 species
GACAGAGGGUGCAAACGUUGCUCGGAAUCACUGGGCGUAAAGGGCGUGUAGGCGGGUAGAUAAGUCAGAUGUGAAAUCCCCAGGCUCAACCUGGGAACAGCAUUUGAAACUGUCUGUCUUGAGUGUCGGAGAGGAAAGCGGAAUUCCUGGUGUAGAGGUGAAAUUCGUAGAUAUCAGGAGGAACACCGGUGGCGAAGGCGGCUUUCUGGACGACAACUGACGCUGAGACGCGAAAGCUAGGGGAGCAAACGGG